rnacentral:lncRNA from 1 species
CCUCCCCUUCUUAACACUGCGUCGAUGCGAUUUCGUCGUCUAUCUUAUGCGGUCCGGUCGUUGUGAUUUUAUUUAAAUUUUCCGAAUCGCUUAUUGGGCUUCUUUUAUUUGAGAAGUGCGUAAUGAUAGCGUUAACUGUAGUAUAACAGGUUUAAUAGCAGCAGUGUAGUGUGAAAAUAGUUGAAGUUGACCAGAUAAUGUAGGUAUGCUACUGUAGCUAACGUCAUUCGACGCCUAGAUGUGUUAUAUAUAGCUUUCUAGCGACAGAUUGUACAUCAUUUUGUAUUCAACUAAAAACAAACAAGGUGACGUUAAGUCAUAGCAACUCGCUAGCUAAGGACAUUUUUGAAUUCUGACGUGUCAGUUGACAAAAGUCAAGAUGAUAGUCACAAGAACGAGAUUAACGUUAGGUGGCAGGGUCUUAUUUUUAGCAGCGGCGCUUACGUCAUUUACCUCAGAAGUAUGCUUAUUUCAACUGAAUUGGCAUCUCGGUAUUAAUUAUAAGCCAAGUAACGUAGCGAAACAAUUUAUUUUAAAGAGUUUGCCAAACAAAAGAUGCGUCUUGUGGCGCACUUGUAGGCCCGACUCAAAAUGGCGAUUAGGGAGAAAUGGAUGUCCUGGGGAUUCAGCGCUGAGAACAGCUGGUGCAGUUAUCUGAAUUCCAAGCUACUGUUAUUUCGAAGAUCAGAAAAUCAGGUUGUAUAAGACGCGUUAUCAAAAGAACCAAGUUACAAUUCAAUGAACGUAUGAAAGAUGGAACGACGUUCCAUUUAUCCGAAGCAGUAUAGUUACUUCAAUGCGUUUAUUUUUUCCGUUUUCCUAAAAUGAACAAUGCGUUACAAGAAAAUAACCAUAUGAAGCCUUGUGAAUACGAAGCUAAUAUGCAAGUUACUAAGAUAAUCUUGUGAAGAAUUGUGACGUCAUAAGAAUAGCCAGCUAAAUGUUUGAAUAGUAGAUGUUGGGCAGCGGUCUCAGGCAGUUUAGCUAACUUCAAGUGGUGUCGCAAGUUGCUCACAUAUCAUGAAGUACAUUUUAUACCGAAUAAGAUUCAGCAAUAGAAGUUGGGUGAAUAUCAGAUGCAUUUAAGCGGUUUUAUUUUAAGCCUAAAAUGACGAACAAGUGGAGCUGCUGAUAGUUGCUUACAUAUGGACAAUCGUUAAAAAAAAGUUAAUGAAGGAAGCAAGUUUCAAGACUAAUACCUUGUGGAAAGCUAUGAUGCCUUUUGAGAAUAGCCAACAACAAAUUGAAGAAUGAAAGUUGGGUGUGGCCCAUUUAUCAGACGUGUUUUACUAACUUCAAGACGUUUUUGUUGUUUUUACUUGACCUGAAGAACAAGUUCUGAUUGUUGUCUACUUGUCAGGGGGAAAAAUCUGUAUAGGUAACCUGAAAGAAAAAAGCUACUAAACUUAACGAUAUGAAACGUGAAUCCUUAUUCAUUUGAAUAGCAAGCAAAGUAUUGGAAGAGAAUUUGGCCUGACGGUGCCUGUAUCAGUCAUUUGAGCUACUUCAAGAAUUAAAUCUUUUAAACAAAAUGAUGAAAAGAUGUGCUGCUGAUUAAGUAUCCAAGUGAAGUGGUCGCAUUAAGAGAACGUGCUGUAAUUCAAGGAAUCACAGGCUCAAAUGUGACCUUGCGUUGUCACGCCUCAGAUUUUAUUAACUUUUUCAAAACAAUUGGCUCUAGCGAAGAAAAGAAGGCUUUUGUUUUUUUCAUGAGGAGAAUGGACUGAGUUUGCGUUGUUGGGGGAAGGACUUAGCUAGUUAGCAGUUUGUGAGGAAGGACUCUUUCAGGAUCAGAGGGAGGAACCAGGCCAAGGGCAAACUGGGAGGACCAGCGGGGAGCCAGGCAGGACCCAGGGGGAUCGAGGGAGGAGCAGAUUGGAGCCAGACGUGGGAAGCAGCCGGGUGUUCAUCAGAGGGAACGAGCCAGAUGGCAGGGUAGCGAGCCUUGCAGUGAGCCGAGAGCGGAGCAGUCCCGGGUCGAGUGUUGCCCUUAGCCAGCCAAUGGGUCCCAGCAGCAAUGAGGCAGACGUGUUAAAGAGCAUACGUGUGAAAGGGUCAACUAGCUUCGCAAGUCACAGGAAAAGCGUUUGGUUUGUAUGAUGGGCAGUGGUAACGUUUAACUAGGCCAAGAGUCUUAUUUAAAAGUCACUUUUUAAAUCUGUCAAGGACACAGUUCUCGCGAAGUUUUGUUUCUUCCUCUUGCAGGUAAUGGUGUGGUAAAGCGUUUAUUUUCCUGGUCACAACCCUUUCCUGUGUGCCUGCGUGUCUGCUGUGAUGAGUCCCCCUUGGCCUUCUUGGUAGAGUGGGCUGGUGAGAGGAGGACCGUCUUAAAAGGAUUUCAGCCUCCUGCAGCACAGAUGUAGUGCCCCCGGGGCGGAGUUUCUCCUGUCAUUGAGUUCAAUAGGUCUGCGCCCCAAGAUGUGGUCUACAUGGGAGUGUGUUGAGUGGGAGGUCUUCUGUACGUCCGUACCACAACGCCCCUUUGGUGCUGAGCAGCUACAUCUGCUGGUUAAAGUGAGCAGUGAGUUUAAAUGCAUGAUAUGAUCACGUGCGGAGUAACUAUUCCCCUAGCUAAAUAUUGAAAUCAAAUUUACAUUUGCCUUCGUAUUGGUAACUAGGGGAUUAUCCCUGAAUUUGUGUUUAGUCUGGUGUUAUUGGUCGAACUGUAGUGCCUUUGUGGAUGGGGGGGGACGUUUUCCGAGUUCUUCUUUUCACAGGCUCGGCCCUUAAAGCAAAGCUGACCAUCCAAGGGAGUCCCUCUUUAGUACUACCUACCACGUUAAUCAAAAAGAGUUGGACGUCAUGUAAACGAUAGUUCUAAGGAUGGAUCAAGUGACACCUCUGGCGUUAAAGUGAUGUAGGAAGCUUCGUGUAAAGCAGCAUUUAAAGAUCCAAAUGGCUAGCAUUGAGGUUUGGGGAGCAAGGAAUCAACCGGGUGGUCCACAUCUUUCGGUGUCCGUUUUGCCUUGUGGUGUAGAGAUUCCUCGGUGUCUACAAGGGUCUAGCAAGUGGCGGGCCACGUUUUGGGAAGUCGACUCGUAUUCUCCCAGGGAGUGUGAUUAUUAUGUGACCCAACCGUUCAAUGAAAGAACAACUAGAGGUCCACGUCUACCCCCGUGUGUCUUAAGGAGAAACGGUGACGCAGAGGCCAGUGCUAUUUUAAAGUUUUUUCUGUGGAAAGUUAAUGAUUUGGUAUUUCUCCAAAUUCGGAUAUUUUCAUUGUAUAUUAGCAACUGUAAAUACAAUUUGAUACUGUAAUUGUCAUGGUUGGUUACUGUUUGGGUAUGUGUGGGGGGGAAUGGUGGAAGGCUUGUUUUCCCUUCUGCAUUUUUCAGUGUGCUGUGUCCUGCGUUUUCAAUACUCAAGACCAACAGGAACACCCCUAACUCAUUGUAUGUAAAGGUUUUCUAUCACUUCAAAAUGCCUCGCAAGGUCUCAAGUAAGGUCACUUACAAAUGUGUUAACAUUUCCCUUUUUAAUAUUUCAUUAGUUUAACAUUUGGCAACGCAUAAAUUGCACUCUCUUUGCAAAUUAGUUAAUGUUUUGUAUUGAUGCAACAGAGCUAUCUGUAAAGGAUUCAUAAUUGGUAAUAAAUGCAUAGCUUAUUGUGAUUGAAGACAUUUUUGUUAUGCAUUUGUUCUUUGGGGGAAUCUUGUCUGGGGGGCUUUUCUUGUGCUUUUUCAGGUAUGUCUUAGCUUGGUGCUUUUAGAGCAUGGAAGUGACCUGGGCUUGAUGGCAGCUCUUACAUGGUGGAAAGUGAAGGUUUCAGAUAAGUUCAAUCCAGCUCAUAUCCGUGUCUGAAUAUGGGGGAAAAUCAAGAUAUGGAACAUGGCUGUCUGAAUGGUCCUUAUUGUGGCCUCAGUUGAUUAUUCUUGAAUAGAGAAGCAUCUACCUAGCAAUGCAACGUCUCAGCACUACUUGUGAUAUGUAGAAGUUGCACUGCUGUGCUUUCCCUAUGGGUGCAAAUCUCUUCUGUUCCAACAGGAAGAUUUGGUGGAAACCCUUUGCUUUAUAGUUGACAUAAAAUUUACUUUGGCUAUGUGGGUAACAUGUGGGUUCUGGUGAGGGUGGGUAUAGGGGUGUUGUCUGCUUUUGAUCUUGCAGAAUUGCAAAAGCCCUACCGGAGAAUGCCAUCUACCAGUGACGUGACCACAGGAAUCGCACCGUCCUUUGACCUCGUCUCAACACAGGCAGGACAGUUUGAGCACGUUUGUUACAUUCAAGGCCAUUUCUAGCUUUACCUAUUAGAUCUCCUCAGCUACCAGCUCUUGUGCAACUGUUCAAGGACAGUCAGUUGUAUCAUAGUAGCUUUUGAACUGUAAAGCAUUUGGUUUAAUUAUUUUGCAGCAGUCGCGCAACUGUGUGACAGCUUUCCCAAAUGAAGGUAGCUGAGGAACACUGCGCAACUGUGCAGCUGUAAUUUGAACUGAGUGCAGCGCAAAUGUGUUGCUUUUGGAUUGGUAUUUGUUGGGCUUGGGAGGGGAAUUGUGCACUUUUUCUCUACAGAAAUCAGUGAGCCUGGCGCAAGCACGUAUGAUGUCUUCUAACCUGGAACAUGUAGGAAGAUGUUUACCUCUUUCACUAUUCAUUUAAUAAGACCCCUGUCAUGUUUUAGUUUGACUCAAUGGACAUCUUGAACUGGAUUUCUGUUAACCAUAGUCAAGCAAUGCUUUUAGCUGCAUAUACCUCACCCCCUUUGGCCCAGAGCCCUACAGCUUUGCAUCUUUAACUAAGUUAAGAAACGUCAUGUAGGUGUUGUGAGUACUGUGGUGGGAGAAUGUUUGUGUCGACACCUCUUCGUUUCAGAUCAUUCUCUCGUUUCACUGUCCGCUACGAUUGCGCCUCCUGCAUCUGAAUGUAUCAGCCGCCGGGAACUGUCAGCAAAUGAGUGUGCCCCCUGAAUGAAGUACCUACCAUCUCUCCCUCUAUUGGCUUGAGCUUAAAGUCAGCCCCGCCCGAUGUUCUUCACCGUCUCCUCUCCCUCUGUGCUGUUUGUUCCUUUCCUUUACCCCUUUUGGUUUCUCAGGUGACUAUUUCUCAAUCUGAAGUAAAAUGGUCUUGAAUUGGCAUCUGUGAUCCGCCCCGUAACUGCGUAAUGGAACACUGAGAACCCAGUCACUUUCAGAUGAAGAGCCACAAGCUUGUCUUGCUGCUAAUUGAGCAUCUCUUCAGUUUCUUGUUUACUAAGUUAAGUCAUUUUGGUUCCCAUUUGACUUUGAACACACUACGGCUGUGUAAUUCAACCCUUUGUCUGCAUGCACAACAGCUCUACAUAACAUUAAGAUUUUUUUUAAAUGCAUAACCUAAAUGUUCCAUGUAGCUAUUGCGUAAAAUGGGC